rnacentral:misc_RNA from 1 species
GAAAAAGCAAUUUCAUUUCUGCUUAGCACAAGUUUCUGCACUUUUAAUAAGACGAAAAGAAACAAUUGAUAAAAUUUCUAAGGCUACCAUUUGGAAGAUCAGGUCCACAAUGACAAAAAACAAUAGCAUCGCGCAACUGCCUUUUGAGUCUGAAUUCGUGCUAUAUUUGAUCAAGUAUUACAGACCAUCUCAGAAAAAUGAUGUUCAUCAAGAACUUGGAGAAACCAACCACCUCUGUAUCUAAUUUCAUUCAAAGCAUGCCCAUCUGCAACGACACUCGAUUCAAGUUACUUUCUUCCCCUGCUAAGCCUCUGCAGAUGAUAAUUGAUGCUACCCCAGGGCUUUCUGUUUUUGCCACUCUGAGCUUCCAUGCAGGUACUCAAAAGUGACUUUUGCCUGCCACAUUUCUCAUCCUUGUUGUGAUUUAAAGUCAAACAAUUAAGAAACGAGACCAUUUCUUUCGCACAAGGUUUCUGAAGACUUCCAAAGUUCCUUGGGUUAAUAUAUAAGGUGCCAGCUUUGCGUCCCAUACUUCCUCAGAUCUAUAAGUAAAUUAGCCGGAGAAAAUGAGAGGAGCGAGUUCGCCG